AAUAGAUACCCGGGUAGUCCACGCCGUAAACGAUGAGUGCUAGGUGUUAGAGGGUUUCCGCCCUUUAGUGCUGCAGCUAACGCAUUAAGCACUCCGCCUGGGGAGUACGGCCGCAAGGCUGAAACUCAAAGGAAUUGACGGGGGCCCGCACAAGCGGUGGAGCAUGUGGUUUAAUUCGAAGCAACGCGAAGAACCUUACCAGGUCUUGACAUCCCGCUGACCGGCCUAGAGAUAGGUCUUUCCCUUCGGGGACAGCGGUGACAGGUGGUGCAUGGUUGUCGUCAGCUCGUGUCGUGAGAUGUUGGGUUAAGUCCCGCAACGAGCGCAACCCUUGAGAUUAGUUGCCAGCAUUCAGUUGGGCACUCUAAUCUGACUGCCGGUGACAAACCGGAGGAAGGUGGGGAUGACGUCAAAUCAUCAUGCCCCUUAUGACCUGGGCUACACACGUGCUACAAUGGGUGGUACAAUGGGUUGCAAACCCGGCGAGGGGGAGCCAAUCCCACAAAGCCACUCUCAGUUCGGAUUGCAGG
rnacentral:rRNA from 1 species